CUACGGGGUGCUGCAGUGGGGAAUAUUGGGCAAUGGGCGCAAGCCUGACCCAGCAACGCCGCGUGAGGGAAGAAGGUUUUCGGAUUGUAAACCCCUGUCCUUGGGGACGAAGAAGUGACGGUACCCAAGGAGGAAGCUCCGGCUAACUACGUGCCAGCAGCCGCGGUAAUACGUAGGGAGCAAGCGUUGUCCGGAAUUACUGGGCGUAAAGGGUGCGUAGGCGGCAUAUUAAGUCAGGUGUGAAAUACUCGGGCUCAACCCGGGGGCUGCAUUUGAAACUGAUAUGCUUGAGUGUGAGAGAGGAAAGUGGAAUUCCUAGUGUAGCGGUGGAAUGCGUAGAUAUUAGGAGGAACACCAGUGGCGAAGGCGACUUUCUGGCUCAUAACUGACGCUGAGGCACGAAAGCGUGGGGAGCAAACAGGAUUAGAUACCCCCGUAGUC
rnacentral:rRNA from 1 species